ACACACAGCAGCUCAGGGAAGGGAAAGGGCUCUCUCCGCUUUACGGCUGCUGAAAACCCUCCCUCCCCAGCCAGCUCAGUGCAGCCGCGCCGCGCCGCGCCCGGGCUCGCUCCUCUCCAAGGUAAGUACAGUGUAUUCCAGUUAUUUACUGAUGGACAGGAUGUUAAUUCUUAAAGUAUCUGAAGAACAGGCACCCAACAACAUCCCUGAAUAAUAUUUCUCAGCUG
rnacentral:lncRNA from 1 species